CACAGGUCAACACAGUUCCCCCUGCACCUUGCUGCAGUGACAAAUCUCUCCCCAGGGUUGCCAUGUAGCAAUUGUGUCUUUUAUUGAGGCAUUUUUAAAACUUUGCUGCAGGUGAAAAGUUUUGGUCGCUGGGUGCAAGUUUUUAUACUACUUCUAUAUUGCACCGUUAUCAAAAAAAAUCCAUUCAUUUCCCUGUAAUCUGCUGAAAUUGUGAUAGUUUUCAGUCUUUGAAAACAGUUUUCACUGGAUUUACUAGAAUUUGAAAUUGACCUGGCAAGCCGUUUUUUUAAGGAAGAGGAGGAUGGUUGCAGACGUUUGCAUUCAUGCAAGAAGGCACUGCAGAGGCUAAGAAGACGCAUGGAAACUCUAAAAGAAACGUAAUUCAACUUGUAAACCAGAUUUCAAAAGGAAAUAAUGAAUCCCGAAGCUCAGAUGUCAGACACCGAGGCUGCCAGUACCUCUGGGUCGAUAGUCCAUGUGUUGGAUGAUGCAC
ensembl:lncRNA